CCUACGGGAGGCAGCAGUAGGGAAUAUUGCUCAAUGGGGGAAACCCUGAAGCAGCAACGCCGCGUGGAGGAUGAAGGUUUUCGGAUCGUAAACUCCUUUUGUUAGAGAAGAUAAUGACGGUAUCUAACGAAUAAGCACCGGCUAACUCCGUGCCAGCAGCCGCGGUAAUACGGAGGGUGCAAGCGUUACUCGGAAUCACUGGGCGUAAAGAGCGCGUAGGCGGGAUAGCAAGUCAGAUGUGAAAUCCUAUGGCUUAACCAUAGAACUGCAUUUGAAACUGUUAUUCUAGAGUAUGGGAGAGGUAGGUGGAAUUCUUGGUGUAGGGGUAAAAUCCGUAGAGAUCAAGAGGAAUACUCAUGGCGAAGGCGACCUGCUAGAACAUAACUGACGCUGAGGCGCGAAAGCGUGGGGAGCAAACAGGAUUAGAUACCCGAGUAGUC
rnacentral:rRNA from 1 species